UGCGAUGAUGAUGAGAUAAUAAUCUCGUUAAUCUGAUCAUUAUCAUGAGGACCAAUCCUCUAAUCCAUUCUUAAUACCACUGAGC